AGUACUGGAGUUUCAGCUUUAGCAUCAUUCUUCCAAAGAAAUCCCAGGGCUGAUCUGCUUCAGAAUGGACUGGUUGGAUCUCCUUGCAGUCCAAGGGACUCUCGUUUUACGUUAUUCUCUGCCCUUUCCUGAUGCUAAUUCACACACCACUGAAUUUGAUAAUUCAGUGUCCCUGUUCUCCCAGGAAAGAUAGAUAUGAGUGAACCACACCUAUUGAAGACAGUCCUUCAUCUGUCUGAUUUCUUUGCAGAGACCAUCACCAAAAGAGAGCGAGCAAGUUGGAAUGUAGCCUCCUUAUAAAAACUGAUCUGUUCUUACAAGAGAAAGUGCAUGAGAUGAGAAUGCCUUAUCCUUAGGAAGUAUCAGUUGAAGAAAAUAAGAGUGAAGGAGCAUGGUGUCUGCAAUUUGGUUCAUAGAAAACAAUAGUGCUACCCAGAUGGAACUGAGCAGCCCCUUUCUUCAUGUCCUUCCUGUGCACCUCGAUACAUUUCUGCUGUAGCAUCUGCACGUGCUCCUUCACCUGGCUGCUGCCUCCAGCAGGACUGCAAGCCCCCAGAAUGGUGCCCUUUUAUCCUUGGUUUGUCACUUUGUGCCUGGAACACCUCACAAAGGGUGUUAAUCAUUUAUGUUCAUUUGUUCUUUUUGUAAUCGGAGUGAAAGUCUCAUAGUAUUAACCAUUCUAAAGUGAACAAUUUACUUCUAGGACAUUCACAAUGUUGUGCAACCACCAUCUCGAUCUAGUUCCCAGACUUUUUUUCUACCAAAAUAUAACCCAUACUCAUUAAGCAGUUACUCCCCAUUCUGACCUCCCUAUACCCCUGGCAAUCAUCUGUGUUCUUUCUAUGUGUUUGCCUGUUCUGGGUAUUUCAUCUAAUAGAAUCAUACAAUAUGUGAU